AAAGGGAGACCUAAUUCAGGUAGGAGACGAAAAAAAGUAGUCGCUACCAAGAAUCAAUCCCAAAAGGUCGGAGCGAGGCGAAAUUGGCUUUCAAACUAGGUUCUGGGUUCAAACAAGACCUGAAUCAGGAACAAGGGCUAUUAGCUCAGGUGGUUAGAGCGCACCCCUGAUAAGGGUGAGGUCCCUGGUUCGAGUCCAGGAUGGCCCACCUGCACAGGUGGCAAAAACAAGAGAAGCGAGGAAUCAGCACCUUAUCUUACUUAUAUAGUAAGAGAGAAUGCUGGCUCUGAGUAAAGAGUCCAGAGGAACCUUGAAAACUGCAUAGAGCUAGGUGAAAAAGCCAAAAAAGAAGACCGCAAG
rnacentral:tRNA from 1 species